GGGCCCGCACAAGCGGUGGAGCAUGUGGUUUAAUUCGAUGAUACGCGAGGAACCUUACCAGGGCUUAAAUGUAGUGGGACAGGUCUAGAGAUAGACCCUUCUUCGGACUCAUUACAAGGUGCUGCAUGGUUGUCGUCAGCUCGUGCCGUGAGGUGUCAGGUUAAGUCCUAUAACGAGCGCAACCCCUAUCGUUAGUUGCCAGCGAGUAAUGUCGGGAACUCUAACGAAACUGCCAGUGCAAACUGUGAGGAAGGUGGGGAUGACGUCAAAUCAUCACGGCCCUUACGUCCUGGGCUACACACGUGCUACAAUGGCCGGUACAGAGAGCAGCCAUGACGCGGUGAAUACGUUCCCGGGCCUUGUACACACCGCCCGUCAAGCCAUGGAAGCUGGGGGCGCCUGAAGUCGGAUAC
rnacentral:rRNA from 1 species